GAAACUCCUUUCAAUUAAGUAAAGGAUUGUACAGCAUUUCUGAAAUUAGAACACUACAUCUAGGGAGAAAGAACCUCUAACCCAAAGAGAAUACCACCAAACUUCUCGGUGUGAGCCUCAUUGUCCGCUAAGUAGACCUGCUUCACCUUUUGAAACACAUGCCAAGUCAACAAGCUAUCUGAGCCAGCCUGAUGGCUAUUCCCAACUACGCGAUUCAGCAUGAGAGUUUCAGCAACCCGGUCCAAUCCGCCAUGAAGAUACGGGAAAAACAUCAUCAUAUACUUCACAUCAUAAACCCUUUUACCAAAAAACACCUUCAUCAACUUCAGAAACUCUGUCAACCCACCUGGCAGGUUACAGCCAGUAAUAACCUUGAUCAGGUAGCCAAAAUCAUAAGCACUGUGAAAU
rnacentral:misc_RNA from 1 species